rnacentral:rRNA from 1 species
AGUGAACGCUGGCGGUAUGCCUAACACAUGCAAGUCGAACGGCAGCACAGUAAGAGCUUGCUCUUACGGGUGGCGAGUGGCGGACGGGUGAGGAAUACAUCGGAAUCUACUUUUUCGUGGGGGAUAACGUAGGGAAACUUACGCUAAUACCGCAUACGACCUACGGCUGAAAGCAGGGGAUCUUCGGACCUUUGGCGAUUGAAUUAGCCGAUGUCGGAUUAGCUAGUUGGCUGGGUAAAGGCCCACCAAGGCGACGAUCCGUAGCUGGUCUGAGAGGAUGAUCAGCCACACUGGAACUGAGACACGGUCCAGACUCCUACGGGAGGCAGCAGUGGGGAAUAUUGGACAAUGGGCGAAAGCCUGAUGCAGCCAUACCGCGUGGGUGAAGAAGGCCUUCGGGUUGUAAAGCCCUUUUGUUGGGAAAGAAAAGCAGCAGGUGAAUACCCCGAUGUUCUGACGGUACCCAAAGAAUAAGCACCGGCUAACUUCGUG